UACGGAGGGUGCAAGCGUUGUUCGGAAUUAUUGGGCGUAAAGGGCGUGUAGGCGGUUCGUACAGUCAGACGUGAAAUUCCUGGGCUCAACCUGGGGGCUGCGCUUGAUACGUGCGGACUUGAGUGCGGAAGAGGGUCGUGGAAUUCCCAGUGUAGAGGUGAAAUUCGUAGAUAUUGGGAAGAACACCGGUGGCGAAGGCGGCGACCUGGUCCGAUACUGACGCUGAGGCGCGAAAGCGUGGGGAGCAAACAGG
rnacentral:rRNA from 1 species